GUGGCUCACGCCUGUAAUCCCAGCACUUUGGGAGGCCGAGGCGGGCGGAUCACGAGGUCAGGAGUUCAAGACCAGCCUGGCCAAGGUGGUGAAACCCAUCUCUACUAAAAAUACAAAAAUUAGCUGGGCACGGUGGUGGGUGUCUGUAAUCCCAGCUAUUCAGGACGCUGAGGCAGGAGAAUCGCUUGAACCUGGGCAGCAGAG
rnacentral:lncRNA from 1 species